rnacentral:rRNA from 1 species
AUUGAACGCCGGCGGCAGGCCUAACACAUGCAAGUCGGGCGGAUGAAGGGAGCUUGCUCCUGGAUUCAGCGGCGGACGGGUGAGUAAUGCCUAGGAAUCUGCCUGGUAGUGGGGGAUAACGUCCGGAAACGGGCGCUAAUACCGCAUACGUCCUGAGGGAGAAAGUGGGGGAUCUUCGGACCUCACGCUAUCAGAUGAGCCUAGGUCGGAUUAGCUAGUUGGUGGGGUAAAGGCCUACCAAGGCGACGAUCCGUAACUGGUCUGAGAGGAUGAUCAGUCACACUGGAACUGAGACACGGUCCAGACUCCUACGGGAGGCAGCAGUGGGGAAUAUUGGACAAUGGGCGAAAGCCUGAUCCAGCCAUGCCGCGUGUGUGAAGAAGGUCUUCGGAUUGUAAAGCACUUUAAGUUGGGAGGAAGGGCAGUAAGUUAAUACCUUGCUGUUUUGACGUUACCAACAGAAUAAGCACCGGCUAACUUCGUG